rnacentral:rRNA from 1 species
UACGAAGGGGGCUAGCGUUGCUCGGAAUUACUGGGCGUAAAGCGCACGUAGGCGGCUUACUAAGUCAGGGGUGAAAUCCUGGAGCUCAACUCCAGAACUGCCUUUGAUACUGGUGAGCUUGAGUCCGGAAGAGGUGAGUGGAACUGCGAGUGUAGAGGUGAAAUUCGUAGAUAUUCGGAAGAACACCAGUGGCGAAGGCGGCUCACUGGACCGGUAUUGACGCUGAGGUGCGAAAGCGUGGGGAGCAAACAGG